UAAUCCUGCUUACCUACAAGGACAACCUGUUUGUUGACUGGGGUUCCCUCUCCCUUGUUUUCUAGCAAUGAUUACAAAAGUUUGCCAUCUGAGCUUGUACCUCUGAGAGCUGUAAGACCAUCUCUCAGGGUAAUGGAUCUUUGAGGACUCACCACAGAUGCCCUCCUGGCUUGUGUUCUUUUCCUAAUCUUCUUUACUCUAUGGAGCCAAAAAUUCAAAACAGGAAAACUGCCACCAGGUCCAACUCCUCUUCCUUUUAUUGGCCACGUCCUGCAGUUGGAUUUCAAAAACAUACCUGCAUCAUUUUCACAGGAACAGAGACAACUAGCAGCACUCUAAAAUAUGGGCUGCUGCUCAUUGUGAAACAUCCUGAGGUCCAAGCAAAAAUUCAUGAGGAAAUUGAUCAUGUAACUGGACAUAAUCGAGUUCCUUUCAUAAGGGACAGACAAGAUAUGCCCUAUCUCGAUGUUAUGGUGCAUGAAGUGCAAAGAUUCAUUGAUCUCCUACCUCUCAGCCUGCACCAUGCCGUGAACCACGGCAUCCAGUUCCAACAAUAUUUCCUCCCAAAGGUCAGCAUUUGUGGAGCCAUGGAAUCUAGUGUUGGAAGACAUCUCAAAUGUCAUCUGGUCCAGUGAUCACAUUUUAGACAUGAGAAAAUCAAGUCCCAUUUUCAUGAUCUCAUAGGAAGUUAUCACUUAAGGCUACAUACAUACAAGCUAUUUUGCAUGUGGAGUUGAAUGAAGAAAGAGUGGAAAGUGUAUACUUGUCUCGGUGCUCCCUGCUUCAAAUUCACCAUGGCAACACUGAAAGGAAAAUGUGCAGGGAAAUGACAGAGUACGAUUGCUCAGGGGAAAUUUUUCUUUAUGUCAUUUCCAUUUACUAGACAGUGAAGUAGACUGUGUGUGUAAUAUUAUCUGUCUCACCACACAGAUGGAGACAUUGCCUAUCAGGUUAAAUAACUUGCCAAGGUCAUUUUAAAAUGUUGGACCUGAAACUAAACCCAAGGUCUUCAGAUUCUACAAUAUUGAUUUCUGGGGUUGCUAAAUAAACAUUAAUUGAAUUAGAUUGAAGUUUCCUAGCAAUGGCUCAGCAGAACUAUUCUACUGCAAAGAAAGAAGGGAGCAUUCCACUUAAUUUCAUUCUUACUAAACCCCUUUGAGUGCAUUGUUGAGUUCAAAUUAGCCAUGCUUUAGCAAAAACCUGCUAUGUGAGAAUUUCUGAGCCAAGUGCUGUCGACAAGAGGCAAGAAUAGAAGGGUAUCUGACUAAAGAGGACAUUGGUUUCUCCUGGAUGGAGCACAAUUUGGAGCCAGAAAAGUCAGCCCCAACUAUUAUUUCUUUCAUUACCAGAGUGACUUCCUGCUGAAGUCUACCCCUAGAGGCCUUAAGUAUUGCUUCAGGCACUGAAAAUUCACAUAUCCUGCCUGUCCAGAGUCCCACAGGUAGCAUGUGUGGAUGUGAAAUAUAGACCAAGGAAAUGGGGGGAGAGAGAGCACAAAUUGCUCAGGGCCUUAGCCAAGGCUUCCUAUAGGAGGGAGUACCCAAGGAGUACUGGGGAUUCUAAAAGGCUGAAGUGAGCAAGCAGUGCAUUCUAGGCACAGGAUAUGGCCAUUUUAAAGGCACAAAGACCAUUGAGGGAGCCAAGUGGAUGGAGAAGAUCACUUGAACCAGUGUAGCUGGAAACCCAAGGAUGGCAUGAUGGUGAUAUUAAUGGGGACAUCAACUUGGAGAGCUAGACUGGGCUCUAUGCAGAUUCUUCAUGGCUUGAUCUUCCAGUAUAUACCAUACAUAAUGAAGAGUGUCUUUAGGACUAGAGACAAUAGGGAGCCACUGGACUGUCCUACCAAGGAUAUUCAGGAUAAUAACUGAAUUUCCCCUGGAAUUUCUUCCCUCUAGAGCACAACAAUCUUCCUCCUGGACUCUGCACUCUUGAAUGAAAGCAAAGAAUUUCUCAACCCUGACUAGUUUGACCCCCAGCACUUCCUGGAUGUGAAUGGGAAAUUCAAGAAAAGUGACUACUUUAUGCCGUUUUCCACUGGAAAACCAUCUUUUCUUGGAGAGGGCCUGGCAAGGAUGGAGUUGUUUUUGUUCUUUAUCGCCAUUCUACAGAACUUCACCCUCAAAUGUGGUGGAGAUCCAAAUGAAAUUAACAUGAAGCCCAAUAGUGUUGGAUUCACCAAUGUUCCACUAUAUUACUAACUAUGCUUUCUUCUUCACUAAGGAAGAAGACAAAGCUGAUUUGCAGAACUAUCCAGCUGGUUUAAUCUUCUGUUUUUCACUGGAAUCCCCUUGAUGGAAAGAAAUAUUCCCUCCUCAUGAUUAAAGUGGGCCUUAAUUUCUGGAGACAAGUCAGUCUAGCAGAGUACACUGUAUGUCAUUAUGUAAUAGGGCUUGGUUUGUCAAUAUUCUUUGCAACCAUAUCACUAGUGUCUCCAGCCAUGCUCCAAUUAACACCCUCAAUUCCAGUUUUAGGGUGUAGAGGAAGUUCUGCAAACUAUUCACAUAUAAAACCCAUAUUAGUUUGUACUUUCCUUUUCAAAUAUCUUUAAAUAUAAUCUUUUUUUAUUGUACA